rnacentral:lncRNA from 1 species
AGUUGGUAUGAAUUACUCUUGAUUCAUCACCACUGUGAGUGCAGCAAGAAAAGCAUCUCCAAUAAGACUUCUGAUGGGACCCUGAUCUUGCUGGCGGCUAAGCAGAGCUACUGAAAAACAAGUAGAAUGCUGUCACUUGCUACUCUCCCACUAUUUUGAGGCAACUGCAUAGUAAAACCUAUUUAUAGUGCCUUUAUCUCGGGUUUUAGAACUUGAUAC